GGAGGGAGGGCGGGCAGGUCGGGACACGAAACCAUGUGUCACCGUCUCUAGGGGCUGAUCACAGGCACUUACCGCUCCGUCUGCGGAUUAACGGCGUGGACGUGCGCCGUAAAUACACAUAAAUGUUCUGGUACAACACAGUCAGGCCCGGAUUACAGGGUAGCACACAGCAGCUGUGCAGCAGAGGAGAAUUAGCACUGAGUGGGCGACGCCCCUCCAGCGGGAACCGGCCCGGCUGGUGCUGCAGUGACGGUGACGUUCCCCCCGGCUCCCCAAGCGGCGGCAUUAACGAGGAACAAAGGGAGGUGGCCCCAGAAGGUUGAAGAGGAAACGGUAAAAAGCUCACUGUCAAGAGACAGUGCCACAGGUGCAAGCCAUAAGCAAGGCAGAACAGUCACUCAAGCCAUGGCCAACGACACCAGUAACUAAUGAUGAGCCGAACGAGACUUUCCUGGUCACAGUGUGCAGGAUUAGGAUGCCCUAUCAAUCAUUUGCUGGUCUAACCACUUCCUUUUGUGAUGUUCACUGCUUCCUAU